UAUCACGUGUUGGAAGCACCAGAGAUAGGAAUCACAGCGAAUGCUCUGCCACUCUGCCAAGCACAGGGUCAAAGAUGGCUACGUGGAUGUUCUCAUUUGAGGUUGGUGGGGGAAGCCUGUGGCGUUCGUCACCAGAAGCACUUUUAUUGGAACUGAUAUCUUCCAAGCUUGCUUUUGCUGCUUUAAAGCUCUGUGGACGUCAUGAAUAUGGAUGGACGGUUGGACUGUCUUAAAGAAGAAUUGAACCAAAUGAAAACUAUAUGCUAAGGAAUGUGACUCUGGAGGUUUGAAAAAGCAAAACAAACAAACAUGAAAAUAAUGGUGGUAAAGUCAAAGGAAGGAAGAAGAGAUGCUGGCUCUGAGGACUUGAGCAAGUCCAAGGCACACCAUACUGGAGACGAAACAUUCUCACAUCUCUGACAUUGGCAGCUUGGUGGGUUCUUGGGCUCCUAUGUCAUUCAAACCACCUUGGAAAUAAGCUGGUUUGCUUUUACAGGCUCUCUUGGAUUUUUUUUUUUUUAGAGAACACUUUUUCCAUACUUGCACCACUACAUGGAAGACGAAAAUAUUUAAACAGAGCUGCUUUUUAAUGUAUACCCUUGU
rnacentral:lncRNA from 1 species